AUGGUAGAAGGGGGGAGGCCAAAAAUAUGUACAAUUUUAUAUACCUAGCUAUUUUAAGAAUAAGAAUAAUCAAAAUGCUUAAAUAUUAAUCAUGUGUUGUGACUCAACGUAUCUGCGAGUUGUGUGCUCGUGUACGAAAUGUCGGAAAAUACUAGAAAUGAACAGGGAGUGCAAAGUAUUUGGUGAUAGAUUUUUCUCAUACGCAGACUUCGAAAAAUCUUUAAAAAUAUAUAAGAACAAAAGAUUGUUGAUUUCUCAAUAGUAGAUAACAAAACAUUAUCUCCAUUAAAAAUAAAGUACCCUAACAGAAAAUUGAAAAUGCUUCUGACAAUCUGAAAUAUUAUUAUUUAAAAUAUGUUUGCAAUCAUGAUGGUCAUCAUACAACAAGAAAAACUUGUUUGGACUAGCAAAUAACAUCAACAGCCAAAAAUUUGUCAUUUUUUAUGCAUUAGUAGUGGACACCAGAUUGCACUCCACGAGGCUAUUAUUUCCAAAAAAAAGGACUAAACAACAACCACUUGGAGCUUGAAAAUCAUGGGUCUAAUUUUAAUGAUUGUACUGUAUUGUGUGAGAUAUAAAUAUUAGUUGAAAUGAUUUUAGGAGUGUAUAUUAAAUGAACCAAUAAAUGUAAUUUAUGUA